rnacentral:rRNA from 1 species
GACGAACGCUGGCGGGCGCGCCUAACACAUGCAAGUCGAACGAGCGAGAGGAGAGCUUGCUUUCUCGCGCGAGUGGCGAACGGGUGAGUAACGCGUGAGGAACCUGCCUCAAAGAGGGGGACAACAGUUGGAAACGACUGCUAAUACCGCAUAAGCCCACGACCCGGCAUCGGGUUGAGGGAAAAGGAGCAAAUCCGCUUUGAGAUGGCCUCGCGUCCGAUUAGCUAGUUGGUGAGGUAACGGCCCACCAAGGCAACGAUCGGUAGCCGGACUGAGAGGUUGAACGGCCACAUUGGGACUGAGACACGGCCCAG